GGCCUCGUGGAUGAAUGGUUCACGCAGAGGACUGCAAAUCCUUCAAUCCCGGUUCGAUUCGGGCGAGGCCUCCA
rnacentral:tRNA from 7 species